UGCGCACAGCGGAAGGCGAAGCAAAGGUCGCGCGGCGCCCCGAGCGGGCAGGGACCUCAGCGGGCGGUUGGGGCAGUGGGCGGAGCCUGGGCUGUGACCGUGACGUAGCUGGGAGGCCACCGCCCCCCGCCCCGCCCCGCCCCGCCCCUCCCGGCGCUGUGGCGGCCGUUGCCGCCGGUGCUUUGUGGCGCCGCCCAGAGGGGAGGCGAGGGAGCCGUGAGGCGGUCGGGGCUUCUCGUGAGGUGAAGCUGAGCAAAGGGCGGCGCCUCGCCGUGCGUGUCGUGGAGUUUUAAAAGCUUCUUCGAGGGAGCCUAGGGAAAAAAGGGGCGGAAGGGUCGCGGGUAGCAAAAGCGAGGCUAAAACCCUCUCGACUUGAGAAGGCCUGGCCGGCAGCGCCAGCCCACGGUGUGCCGCCACACGGAGCUGGAGGGGGAGUGGGUGGGCGGUUGGACCCUGCGUCUCCUGUGGGAUGCUGAAACUAUACAGUUGUGAAGAAGAUGAGAGUAUAACGGAAGGGACCACCACAAGAAAAGAAGAAGAUGCCCCAGGCGUCUUCCCAGCAGGCUGGGCAGCGUUGUGGUGCUCGAAGAGGAUGUGUCGAUACCCAUGCGUUGUGGACCUCUAGGCAGAAUUUAUGUGAUGCGUUUCAGACACGACUACCAUCUCGCUCUCCUUGGCAAGGAGGAAGAAGAGCUGUUAAGCCUAGCAUAAUAAUGUCCAGUGAUCCGAAGGCAGUGAUCACAAGAGGUGAACUGUUUGCCUUAACUAGGGACAUUAAAACAGAAUUUCCCCCUCUCUGGCAUUUGAAAAACUUUUUUAUCUGUGUGUGCUUUUAUGCUAUGUUGGAACUGGUAUAAGUGUGCUCCUGUAAUUGCCGUGGGGAGCAGUGCUCAUCUGAAGGCAAGAGGGAACAAGGACAGGGUAAAAAUACAUCAGAAGUUCCCCUGAUGACAGAAUUUUGCAGACAAUUUGUAAGAAUAUUCAGCAAAUUAUCACUUCGUGGUGUGGAGAGAGUGCAUUGUUUUCCAAUGCUUGUGGUGUCUAGAGCAUGAGACACAUGUUUGUGCAGCUUCUAACAUUUCAUUGCAAGGGCAUUUGGAUGGAAGACAAGAACCUGUUCACCCAAACAGAUUUUUUUGCAAAUAUGCUGAACAAAACUAAAUGCAAGAUACGUGAGGAUUAUGAAAUAACAUAAUAUUCUGUCUUCUCUGUACUUAACAUUAAUCUCUCCUGAAUGGUGCUAGAGGCAGAGCAAAAGGCAGGAGUCUGCACUUAUUUUGAAAUCAUUCCUCCAGGAGGUAACAAAUAUUUUAAAACCCAUUUGUGCCUGAGUUGUCUUCAACAGUUCUUUGCAGUACAUUUCUUCAUACUUUGCUUUUAAAUUAAAUUUCAUCUGUUAUUAUGCUGCUCAGUUACGUUUGUACUAAAUCCUUUAGAUACUCUCCUGUACUC